rnacentral:lncRNA from 1 species
UGGAAGAAGGACCGGCGCCGGUAGGGGACGGUCCAAAGCCGAUCCCCAUACCGAGCAGCCUAACCAUUGCCAACACUUUUCAGCAUAGUUUAAACUCUUAAGGUUGAGUGACAUGACACACUCUCAUUGGUUGAUUUUAAAGUUUACCACUCUUUAUACCCUAAGGAGUUUAAUACAAUUCUAAAUAUAUAAUAUAUUUUUUUAGUAUCCUUUUGUUUUUAAUUUUAACAUAAAGCUUAUAAAGCUCAUUAAAAAUAAAGUUGUAUUCAGAUUGAAGUAUUACUGUAAAGUUGCAUUAUAGAACGUGUACAUGACUUCUUGGGACUUUGAUCCCCCUUAGUUUUGUUGUCCAUAGAACUUAAAAGUUGUCUUCGAAGCAUGACACACAUUAUAUGAUUAUCGUGAAAACGCAAACAAGAAGCUGCAUUUUACAAGAAUGAAGAAUCUUAAACAAAAGAUACCAUAAUAGCACGAGAAGGAAAAGAAAAAUCAAAAAGCAACAAGCUAAAGCUUUCAGUAAUCAGGCCAGGCUGAUGGUUUGAGUUUGAGAGUUUCUACAUCCAUAGCACUCAUUUAUGCAUAAGAAAUAUUAUAUUUCUUGAAACAUGAACAAUUCUGCGUAAUCAUAGAUUAUUGACAAUCUUUAGGUUGCACAAAUGGAAUAAUAAUUACCAACAACCGCCUUAUGGGGCUGCUACUUCGACUUGAGAGCCUUACGAGCUUCUUCUCGUGUGACAGCCCGGACAUAGAUCUCAUAGCAACAUCCUGGAACAAAUUUCAAAGUACUCAGCAUAAUUAGAUUCAUGACGAAAGAAUAUAUGGUUAAAUAAUAAGCAAACUGAUUUAGCCACAUGCAGCUACAUAAUGCUUAUUCUGAUUAUCUCCAACAGGUCAAACAGAUAAAAUUAGCUUAAAAGUAAACUGGCGGAAAGACACCCAAAGUGGUACUUACAAAAGAAAUAUUAUAUAGGUUUUACAGUGUGUUUCAGUUUAACCCAAUAUGUAUCUACAAGAUGAAAACAUUUUUGUCAAUUUAGGAUUGACAUACCAGCUACCACGGCGAUAGUGAGGUAAUCACCAACUCUUCUGAUGCUUGAGGCACUUUUCCUAUAUGAUUUGAAGCGCUCUAGUGCUGGAUCCUUGGCCAAAAGCUACAACGUAAUAAGGUUAUAUUAAUGAGAAUAUAAACAAACCUAAGGGGGGAUUCGAUUUCAUCUAUCUGUACAAGGUUACUAAAGAUUUUUAAGAAAUAGUUAAGAUCUGAAAUAAUAAACAAAUGUGAAUUGCAACACAUAGUUUCACAAGUUUUUUGAAGCGUAGACUGCAUAUGAGUUUCGAAGAAGUUACAGUUAAAUAGGUGAAAAAUAUAAAGCUUCUUAACCACCCCGUGCAGAUCAAAGAUUAAUUGGGGUGGUUUACACCUUGGUUUAAAAAAGCGUGAGGCGCUCCGAAGCGUUUUGGUUCCAAAAGCUUUAAGCGAAGCUUCAAGCGCGAAGCGAGAGCUUCACGUAUACAAAUCGUUCAAAAUAAAAAAAAAUAAAAAAAUAUUUGUACACGUCAAUAUGACAUAUUCUACUUGUUAAUCAAUAAUAAACACAAAAACAAGAUUAAAAAACACAUAACACGUAAAAAACAUAAUUAAAACAUAAAUUAAAGUCGAUUAUUGGAGAAAGUAUGAAGAAUCGAUGGAUAAGAGGGAGGGAGCGGCUGAAGAUGUUUACUAACGUUUUUUUAGGGUAGCGGGCCUCAGUUAAACCCUAUUAGAGACUAUUGGGCCUAAUUUAAAAACCUAAAUCUGACCUGAUUGGGCUGAAGCGUCGCUUCAAACCAAUGGCGCUUCGGGCUUAAAGCGCGCUUCAAAACGCUUCAAAACGCUUCACGUGAUUUGUUGCCUCAGAGCAAAAAAAGCGACAACCCUGGCGCUUCAUCGCCUCACAGGCAAGCUCGCUUUUUUAAACCAAGGUUUACACAAUGGUAUGGGAUAUGGAACAAUAAAAGAAUAGGUUUUACUCCUUGAAAACGGUGUUCGGUAGCUAUAAUGGCCAAACGGAAAACAUCAGUUGAAUACUUGAAUCAAACAAUUGAAUCUUGAUUGCCUUUGUUGAAAAUACACAUACUAAACCUUGCUACAUAACCUUGAAAGUUUCCUCUAUAGACGCUAAUCGUUGCCUACUCUGAUUUACAACACGUGUGAUUGCCAAGAGAAAUGGUAAGGAGUCCUUAUAAUCAUAGUCACCAAUAUGGAUUGUAGCUACUAGCAAAAUCAAACAAGAAAUUAAAGUAAUUCUAUACAGGGAAUAGUGAUUUUACUCGUAACAUACAGUUUGCCAUGACAUAAGGCAGUCCAGGCAUGGAAUGAAUGACUCAUUAAACCCUCUAAACUUCUAUUACUUCAAGUGCUGAACCAACUACAACUUGAUACAUAAACUAGCUCAGCAAGUUCUAUCUAUUAUAUAUACUUUGGCCAUCAAAGCCUGUAUUUUUGUAGGUAGCUAGCUUUCUACCAUAUAUUUUGCUAAAACUUUGGUUAAUUAUUACACUUGAGUGGAUGGUGCACCUUGUGUGAUAACUGUGUUAUUAGAAUUAUGCAACAUUCUCACAUAUUAUGCCCAAAAAAUAAUUGAUUGGUCAAGAGCUUUCUAGUGUUGAAAGUAAGCAAAUGAAUGUAAAUAUACCAAAAGUUAUGAACUAAAUUAGGGCUCCUAAUUCUAUUGCAUAACAAAUUAAACUUCAGAAAAAAAAAAAAAAAAAAAAAAAAAAAAAAAAAAAAACCCACACCAUCACCAUCCUGAUCUUAAGCUAGCCACACACACAUGCAUUCAACGCAUCGACCGAUCCAUACGAAUCAUGACCAGAUGAAAUCAUAUAAUGACUUACAGCUUUCUCUCGAACUCCAGGCUCUACAUGAAUCUGCCGUCUAGAUUGCAAAAUUAAACCCUCCGCCGCCUAAAUCGAAAUCAAAUGUUCAAUUGAAAAGUAAAACACACGUAAUCGGUAACAAAAGCAUAAAACAAACACAGAUUGAUACCUGGUGAUGAGCACCAAGGCUAGAAAAGGAAGUACGUUUGAGCAAAGAAGCCAUUGAAAAGUGAUCAGACGCUGGAUCUUGGACUCGUAAAUUAUGUUGUUUUGUAUUUUCUAG